ensembl:lncRNA
AUCGCGGCAGAAAAGAAAGGCGACAUUUCCGCCAGUCCAGCAGCGCCGUCUCGCGGGAUAGGCCCCUCGCUGCUUGACCAUUGGCCAGGGGCCCCUAUAAGGAGGGGUCCCUGCGCCACUUACCAGUCUCACAACACCGCUCCCACGCUCACAGCUUGAAUACACCCAGACGACACUCUACAUGGCGUCCGUGGUUCAUUGUGCGUCCUGCUACGGCCGCUGCAGUGUGCAGCCCUUGCAGCUGUUCGGCCGGGGGGGCGGCUUGGACUACAUGUCCAUGCUUACCUACCGGGGCCCUCGGAGUGCCCCGCGGCCCGGCCUGGCCUACAAAGGCCCCCGGAUGACCCUGCGGCAGAUCUGUCGCACGCUGAAGAACAUGAAGCAGCUCAGGAAGAAGGAGGCGGCCUUGGCAGCGGCCAGGAAGCUGGCCCCCCUGCCCCCUCCUGAGACGCAGACGGAACAACGCCAUCAAACGGGCUAGCUGACCCAGGGACCCCCCCCCACCCCUCCCUCCAGGAGGAGCUCUGACCAGGUCUCUGGAGGAAGGGGUUCAGUCAUCUGUCGCUCGUGUCUGAGCUCAUGCUGCCUGCUGGAACGUUGACUUGUUGUCAUUGUUUCAUAAAUGUGGAGGAGGAGUCAGGGGUUAAUUGGAUUCAUUAUUUCAUUGAGAUUACAAUUUUUGUUGUUAAGGCCCAAUCCCAUUUCUACCCCUUAACCCUUACGUAAGGGGUAGAAAUGGGAUUGGGCCUAACUCAUCUAAAUGAAGAGUAGGAUCCCUUAUGAUUUAGUUGUGGAUUGUUUUGGUUGAAGUGUUUUCCACUUAUUGACACCAGUUAUAAAUGGUAUUUUUUUCACAAUUAUAGCUUGGAAAUCUUCACUGAAACUCUUACACUUCAGUUAUUAUAUAUUUAAUUAUGGAUUACUAUUCAUAUAUUUAUAAAAAAAAGAAAAAAGUAUUUACUCACUGAUCACUGAACUCAUGAAUCAUAUUCCUCAAGUCUUGGUUUAUUCUGUUCUUUGUAUAUUUGUUGUGGAAUAAAGUAUAUCAGCAAGAAGGACUUAAGAUUGCUAAUCAGUUUGUUUGCGUGCGUGUGCGUGUGUGUGCGUGUGUGUGCGUGCCUUACUCAAAUGAAGAAUGAGAAUUUACC